ensembl:lncRNA
GCCUGUGAUGACUGAGUGCGAUCGCGUAGGUGGUGAUGGCAGCCGGACAGGGCCUGCGCCCCGCUCGGGGCUGUGUCCCCAGGAAGCUCUGGGUGCAGGUUCCUUGUUGCUGCAUUUGUUGCUCCAGGCGAGGACAACUCAGGCGGGAGAGUGGACAGCAGGUCACGAGGCCGAGGUUUCUGAGCGGGGGUUAGCUCCGGCUUUCAGAGCACCCACUGUGCGCUCCCCAGCCUCUGCUAAGUCUGAACAAUGACCCUGAGAAGGAAAGGUGGGGAAACUGAGGACCGAGGACAGCAGCCAGUUGAGGAGUGUGUCCUGAAGCAAACCACCCUCGCUCUGCCUGCCAGCCGAGUCCAGUCCACACUUAACCUCUUCCUUUCGUCCAGGAACACAUGCCCAUCCAUGACCUUCCUUGCAAAUGGCAGCGCGUGCCCAUCUUGCUGUCCGGUGGCUCAGUCGUGUCUGACUCUCUGCACCCCCUUGGAAGGCAGCACGCCAGGCUUCCCUGUUCUUCAGUGGCUCGGGCAACUUCUUGACGUCAGGACGCUCAAAAAAGUGCCCCGAGCCUCUUUUGCUGUGAUUGAUUUUGCAGUUCAGAGGAACCUUUAUGGAAACUUGCUUGGAAAUUGGAAAGCCAAGCCAGUAUGCUGGAAGUUGCAGCAGAAGCAUUGACAUCACUGCUACUCCGAAAGGUCUGGAGACACCUCUGGGAAAUUUUUUAUUCCAGAAUCAUCCUGAGUAAGUGAGGCUCUAAUGGCGUCUCAUUUUACAGUUGAAGGAACCAAGCCAGGGAAGUUUAAUAGAUGCAAAGUAGCCGUGAUAAAGCCAGAGCAGGAGCCCAGUUCUCUUGAGCCCAAUUCUAAGACUUUUUCCACACCAGACAGUGUUACCUCUUACAUGACCCAUUAGGUUACUGUCUUAGGGGAUAUGUUUAGACUCUAGGUAUUCUUGAAAACAGAUUACAGAGAAACCCAUCUAUAAUGCUGGGGCAAGGAGGUGGCCAGCACAGAACUGGAAUGUUUCUGCCCCAAAGGGCCAAUUAAUUUCUCAGUGUAAUUUUAUCCAGCCCAAUAAGAAGGUCUCAAGAAGUGGACAUUUUAUACAUAUUUUAAAAGCUUUAGCCAUACACGUAUUCUAAAGGACCAAGGUGUGGAGGCAUGUUACUCCAUGAAACCAGAGUUAUUUUUCUUUAAAAAAAAAAAAAAAAAGAGCUACGGCUAGUUCCUAUUUCCCAGAACAAGAAGUUAGGGUUUUCCCUGCUUACUUAGAGAAAGGAUUUUCAGAACAAAUGAUAAUUGAAGUGGAGUUAGUACUGUUCGCUGAGACUGCUGGUAUUUUCAACUUGUCAUAAACUGAAGCUCUUCCAGAUGUAGUCCAUGGGCCAUCAGUCUCAUCUGGGAGCUGGUAAGAAAUAGAGAAUCUCAGUCCCUUCCUGGACCUGCUGAAUCAGAAUCCAUAGUUUAACAAGAUCUCCAAGGGAUUCACAUAUGAAUUAAAGCUGGAGAAUCACACUGUCUCAAAAACGUAAUAGACAUGAUGAAUACAGCUCUCUCUUCUCACUCUUCCUCCCUACAGACCUCCUUUCCUUCAUUCUGUGCUUUUCCCCCCUCUUCUUUUGCCCAUAUUGGGUCAGGAAAUAAAAGGAAAGAUUUUUAUUCAUGAUAGAGUUAUAAUUUUGCCUUUUUUAAAGGAACAUAUGCAUCUUCCUAGAACAUAAUAGACUCAACUGUGUAGACUCAAUACACUUACGGGACCCGUGGGGAGGGGGGAGAGAAACAAGCAACAAACUCCAUAUAAAUGGUAUUUAUGUCAGUACAGAAAAUAGAUGAACAAUUCCUAACAGGAAGAUGAGCAAAGCCCAUGAAC